GCGCGAAAACUCCGCAAUGCGCGAAAGCGUGACGGGGUCAUCCCGAGUGCCGUCCGCUGAGGAUGGCUUUUGCCUGGUCUAACUCGCCGGGUGAAUAAGGGGAGGGCAAGUCUGGUGUCAGCCGCCGCGGUAAUACCAGCUCCCCGAGUGGUUGGGACGAUUAUUGGGUCUAAAGCGUCCGUAGCCGGCCGGAAAAGUUCCCCGUUAAAUCCGACGAUCCAAUCGUUGGGCUGCGGGGAAUACUCUUCGGCUUGGGGGCGAGGGAGGUCGGCGGUAGUCCCGGGGUAGGGGCGAAAUCCUAUAAUCCCGGGAGGACCACCAGUGGCGAAGGCGGCCGACUAAAGCGCGCCCGACGGUGAGGGACGAAAGCUGGGGGAGCGAACGGGAUUAGAUACCCCGGUAGUCCCAGCUGUAAACGAUGCAGGCUAGGUGUUGGGACGGCCACGAGCUGUCCCAGUGCCGCAGGGAAGCCAUUAAGCCUGCCACCUGGGAAGUACGGCCGCAAGGCUGAAUUUCUAAAG
rnacentral:rRNA from 1 species